rnacentral:lncRNA from 1 species
UGCUGUAGAGGAUGCAGUGAUGCUGCUGGUUUCCAUCCGCCACAUUGAGAAUGAGGGCCUUCCUCUUUCUUAUGUCAUCAUAGAGCCUUUCAGAAUGUGGCAAAUGUGGUCCUGAGACCCCUUUCCUAGGAAGUCCUGCUGAGAACAGCUUUGCAGCGUGCUGCUUGCUUAGAAGGGUCAUCCGUGAGAGGCUUUUCGGUCCAGGGUUUUGUGCAGAUGCUCUAGGAAAAUUCAAGAGCUAGGAAGUCAGAGAUUCAGCAUUGGCCCCCAUAGUUGCACAGCGCCGGCUUCCUCUCAGUGCUGUUUACUAUGUCAAGUUGUAGUGGUCCAUGCCCUGCCCAGGAAACAUGGGAUUCCCCCAUCCAGGUUGGUCCUAAGGAUCCAAGGGCUCCUUUAGAAAGAGAACUGGUAUCAGGUGAGAGCCCAUCAACGUGCUAUUUGCUAGAUCACUGAGUCUGAGUUCUGAGAGAUUGCAGUGCUCGCAGGCUGUCAUUGAAACAAUUGUGUCUGAGGGAAGCAAACAGACUCGACUGACAUCCAUUUUCUGAUUCUCAAGAAACAAACCAUAAACUGACGGAAAGGGAAGGGAAAAAUAAAACAUACUUCCUUUACAGAGGUGUGUCAGAAGACUGAUAACACUGCAUGGUGGUAUGGUGGUUCCUGCCCCUGCUGCCUGCCAAGGUUGGGAGGUGGAGCUUCAGCCAGGGUCCAGCAAGUCAGAGAAAAGCACCCACAUACUUGGGAGCAUCUGGAGAGAACAAUUCUGGGGUUUCAAAUCCCAGCUUUGGCCUGUCCUCUUUAAGAUCGCUGCUUUCUCAUUACUAAAGUGGCUUCUGGGUUUCUGUGUAGCAGCUUUUACCCUGGGUGGACAUCUUCCCAGGCAGCCUUCUUCUGAGUUCUAUUUGGAGACCACUUUUACACACACACC